rnacentral:rRNA from 1 species
CGUAGGGUGCGAGCGUUAAUCGGAAUUACUGGGCGUAAAGUGUGCCCAGGUGGCCGCGCAUGUCGAGUGUGAAAUCCCCGGGCUUAACUUGGGAAUUGCGCCUCGAAACGUACGGUGGCUGGAGUGUGGCAGAGGGAGGUGGAAUUCCACGUGUAGCGGUGAAAUGCGUAGAGAUGUGGAGGAACACCAAUGGCCGAAGGCAGCCUCCUGGGCCAACACUGACACUCAUGCACGAAAGCGUGGGGAGCAAACAGGAUUAGAUACCCUGGUAGUCCACGCCCUAAAACGAUGAUGACUAGUUGUUGGGGGAGUUAAAUCCCUUACGUAACGCAGCUAACGCGCGAAGUCAUCCGCCGUGGGGAGUACGGUCGCAAGAAUUA